GCCUUCGUAGUGUAGUUGUCAGCACGCUAGACGCUUAACCGAGAAGUCCGCGAUUCAAAUCCCGGCGAAGGCG
rnacentral:tRNA from 1 species